CCCUUAGAUGUUCUGGGCCGCACGCGCGCUACACUGAUGCAUUCAACGAGUUUUGUUUGUUCCUUGGCCGAGAGGCCUGGGCCAUCUUUUGAACUUGCAUCGUGAUAGGGAUAGAUUAUUGCAAUUAUUAAUCUUGAACGAGGAAUUCCUAGUAAACGCAGAUCAUCAAUCUGCAUUGAUUACGUCCCUGCCCUUUGUACACACCGCCCGUCGCACCUACCGAUUGAAUGGUCCGGUGAAGCCUCGGGAUUGUGGUUGGUUUCCUUUAUUGGAGAUUGAUUGCGAGAACUUGUCUAAACCUUAUCAUUUAGAGGAAGGUGAAGUCGUAACA
rnacentral:rRNA from 1 species